rnacentral:rRNA from 1 species
UACGGGGGGGGCAAGCGUUGUUCGGAAUUACUGGGCGUAAAGGGCUCGUAGGUGGCCAACUAAGUCAGACGUGAAAUCCCUCGGCUUAACUGGGGAACUGCGUCCGAUACUGGAUGGCUCGAGUUUGGGAGAGGGAUGCGGAAUUCCAGGUGUAGCGGUGAAAUGCGUAGAUAUCUGGAGGAACACCGGUGGCGAAGGCGGCAUCCUGGACCAACACUGACACUGAGGAGCGAAAGCGUGGGGAGCAAACAGG